GACGAACGCUGGCGGCGUGCCUAAUACAUGCAAGUAGAACGCACAGUUUAUACCGUAGCUUGCUACACCAUAGACUGUGAGUUGCGAACGGGUGAGUAACGCGUAGGUAACCUGCCUGGUAGCGGGGGAUAACUAUUGGAAACGAUAGCUAAUACCGCAUAAUAUUAAUUAUUGCAUGAUAAUUAAUUGAAAGGUGCAAUUGCACCACUACCAGAUGGACCUGCGUUGUAUUAGCUAGUAGGUGAGGUAACGGCUCACCUAGGCGACGAUACAUAGCCGACCUGAGAGGGUGAUCGGCCACACUGGGACUGAGACACGGCCCAGACUCCUACGGGAGGCAGCAGUAGGGAAUCUUAGGCAAUGGACGAAAGUCUGACCGAGCAACGCCGCGUGAGUGAAGAAGGGUUUCGGAUCGUAAAGCUCUGUUGUAAGAGAAGAAAGGGUGUGAGAGUGGAAAGUUCACACUGUGACGGUAUCUUACCAGAAAGGGACGGCUAACUACGUG
rnacentral:rRNA from 1 species